GGCCACUUUCCGUAGUCUAAGAUCUGAGAAGACUUUCCAGAUGAAAUGUGUUUUCCAUCUAGAAAAUGUGUAGGUGGAGAACAUGUGACUUGCAGCAUUCUGAUAUUGACACUGGAGAGAGGAAUUGGAAUUACCUUUUUCCAACUGUGCCAUCAGGGCCCCUUUGAGUCAAGAGACCCUAUGAUCAAAGGAGCUUGGUGGCGCUUUGGGUUAGGCGUUGGGCUGCUAACUGCAAAGUUGGUAGUUCAAACCUCCCAGCCCUCUGCAAGAAAGAGAGAUGAUUGAUCUGCUUCUGUGAAGAUUUGCAGUCUCAGAAACCCUAUAGAGGAAUCAAAUCCAUGGUAGUGGGGUGGGUUUUGUUUCAUUUUAAAAUAGAGAGUUCCGGUCAAGAUGGCGCCAAGGUCCGGCUGGACCGGAGGAUUGUACACUGGUGCAGGUGGGAGCUGGGGCACAGGGAAUCUAGGACGGAUGGGGCCCUCAGGACCAG